rnacentral:rRNA from 1 species
ACAUGCAAGUCGAGGGGUAACGGAAGUAGCUUGCUACUAGACGACGACCGGCGCACGGGUGAGUAACGCGUAUGUAAUCUGCCUUGUACAGAGGGAUAGCCCAGAGAAAUUUGGAUUAAUACCUCAUAGUAUUACUGAAUCGCAUGAUUCGGUAAUUAAAGCUCCGGCGGUACAAGAUGAACAUGCGUGACAUUAGCUAGUUGGUAAGGUAACGGCUUACCAAGGCAACGAUGUCUAGGGGUUCUGAGAGGAUGAUCCCCCACACUGGUACUGAGACACGGACCAGACUCCUACGGGAGGCAGCAGUGAGGAAUAUUGGUCAAUGGACGCAAGUCUGAACCAGCCAUCCCGCGUGAAGGAUGACUGCCCUAUGGGUUGUAAACUUCUUUUAUAUGCAAAUAAACCUACUUUCGUGAAAGUAGCUGAAGGUAGCAUAUGAAUAAACACCGGCUAACUCCGUGCCAGCAGCCGCGGUAAU